rfam:Brassica rapa chromosome A6, whole genome shotgun sequence.
GUAAUAUAAGAUACGGUCUCUUAGCUUUUAACUAAAAAAACUAAGAGACAUCUCUUAAAUAAGAGAUAUAAGAAAUAUCUCUUAGUUUUUUAGUUAAAAGCUAAGAGACUGUACCUUAUAUUAC